rnacentral:rRNA from 1 species
CAGUCGCCGCGGUAAAACGAACCGUGCGAACGUUAUUCGGAAUUACUGGGCUUAAAGCGCGUGUAGGCGGCUCGGCACGUCGGACGUUGAAAGCCCCCGGCUCAACCGGGGAAGUGGCGCCGAUACGGCCGAGCUGGAGGGAGGUAGGGGGGUCUGGAACUUCCGGUGGAGCGGUGAAAUGCGUUGAGAUCGGAAGGAACGCCCGUGGCGAAAGCGAGGCCCUGGACCUUUUCUGACGCUGAGACGCGAAAGCCAGGGGAGCGAACGGGAUUAGAUACCCGGGUAGUCCCUGUCUCUUAUA